UGCAGAUGCCCCACACCUCAUCUGUUCCCAUCUUGGCACCAUCCUACCUGCACCUCGGCAAGGAGAUUUGGUCUCAUGUUUGUCACCGCAAGCAAUUGAAACAACUGGCGUGUCUGGCAACAGAUGAAAUAAGGCAUGGAAUUUAUACUCAUAUACCUGUUACUUGUGCCAUCAAAAAAUACUUUAAAGGAGAAGGAGCAACCCAUGCUCAGGUGUUCACUUUUAAGACAUGGCCUAGUACAGAUAUGUUCUACAACUGGAAAAAAAUGGUUAUGAUUGAGGCUUAGAAGUGGAGUGCAGUGAAGAAACUUUAGGGAAGCCUGACAACCACACCCUCUGCUGAUCCCUGUGGAAUUUUACAUGGAUAAUGAGUAAAAGACUGUCCUGCCAAUAGAGAAUACAGUGAAACGGUAUGGAACAUACACAGUGGAACAGAGGACACUGAUGGAACAGUGUUUAUAAGCACAAAGUUUGGAAGUACGGAAUCCUAGAUAAAAUCCUGACUGUGGAAUUAACUGCGUGACCUUCGGCAAAUUACUUCAUCUCUUUGAGCCUCAGUGUCUUCACAUAUAAAAUGAGAAUAAUAAAAGCCCUUGAUUGACUCCAGAAGAAGGAGAUGAAGAAGCCUAGAUUCCAUAAUGCGGGAGUCCCAGAUCCUCAAAGUACGAUGAUUCGCCAAAUCAAGAAAUGAGGAUUA
rnacentral:lncRNA from 1 species